CGGCGGCCCAGGGUAGGGGGAGGUGGCAGAAGGAGGACAGAUGGUCUCCCUCAUGGUGGCUGAAAUAAAAGAGGGAAUUAGACGACUCCAAGGUGUACACUCUGACGGCAAUUACGGCAAAUAGAUUGGAAGUGGACCUGCAGGCACCCGGGGAGGUGGCUCCUGGGGGAAGAGCUCCACCUCACUGCAUCUGGAACCUUGUAAUGGUUGGAGUGAGACAGUCCAGAGAGUGUCAUGGAGUGACAUUUACAGCCCUUUCUGUGGGGAAACAGGAGGGAGAGCCAUGACGCCUACAACCGCUUUGGUGUUGCACACAUGACAAGAAAGGACUUUCACAUUGGGAGGGACGUGGCGCCGUAUACGACAGGAAAUCCUUCCGUCAAGUGUUUUAUUACCAAGCACACUGAGGUAAUGCUUUCAUGGGCAGGGUCUGUUUUUUUUUUUCCUAUGUCCACAAAAAUGACCAUAAUUUUUGUCAAACUUUGAGCUUGGUACAGUUUUGUGCUGAUGAACGUGUAUAAUCAUGCACACACGGAAAAAUAUCAACAGUAAAUCUUAGCGAAUACAAAAUAAAAAGUUAAAUACACAAUUGUGAAGACCAGUCACGGUAAAACAGACACAGAAUCCUGAAAAAUCCUCGUGGAGGCGUGGCACAAAGGCCACGGAAGAAACUGACAUUGGGAUGCUUUACAACACAAGUGACAGGAACCGGCUCUUUAA